rnacentral:rRNA from 1 species
ACUCCUACGGGAGGCAGCAGUGGGGAAUAUUGCACAAUGGGCGCAAGCCUGAUGCAGCCAUGCCGCGUGUGUGAAGAAGGCCUUCGGGUUGUAAAGCACUUUCAGUUGUGAGGAAGGUGGUGUCGUUAAUAGCGGCAUCAUUUGACGUUAGCAACAGAAGAAGCACCGGCUAACUCCGUGCCAGCAGCCGCGGUAAUACGGAGGGUGCGAGCGUUAAUCGGAAUUACUGGGCGUAAAGCGCAUGCAGGUGGUUUGUUAAGUCAGAUGUGAAAGCCCGGGGCUCAACCUCGGAACUGCAUUUGAAACUGGCAGACUAGAGUACUGUAGAGGGGGUAGAAUUUCAGGUGUAGCGGUGAAAUGCGUAGAGAUCUGAAGGAAUACCGGUGGCGAAGGCGGCCCCCUGGACAGAUACUGACACUCAGAUGCGAAAGCGUGGGGAGCAAACAGGAUUAGAUACCCUGUAGCACAGAG